AAUAGAUACCCGGGUAGUCCACGCCGUAAACGAUGAGUGCUAAGUGUUGGGGGGUUUCCGCCCCUCAGUGCUGCAGCUAACGCAUUAAGCACUCCGCCUGGGGAGUACGGUCGCAAGACUGAAACUCAAAGGAAUUGACGGGGGCCCGCACAAGCGGUGGAGCAUGUGGUUUAAUUCGAAGCAACGCGAAGAACCUUACCAGGUCUUGACAUCCCGGUGACCACUAUGGAGACAUAGUUUCCCCUUCGGGGGCAACGGUGACAGGUGGUGCAUGGUUGUCGUCAGCUCGUGUCGUGAGAUGUUGGGUUAAGUCCCGCAACGAGCGCAACCCUUAUUCUUAGUUGCCAUCAUUCAGUUGGGCACUCUAAGGGGACUGCCGGUGAUAAACCGGGGGAAGGUGGGGAUGACGUCAAAUCAUCAUGCCCCUUAUGACCUGGGCUACACACGUGCUACAAUGGACGGUACAAACGGUUGCCAACCCGCGAGGGGGAGCUAAUCCGAUAAAACCGUUCUCAGUUCGGAUUGUAGGCUGCAACUCGCCUACAUGAAGCCGGAA
rnacentral:rRNA from 1 species